UUGGCCUGUUUGGCAAAAUUAUUUAUUUAUUUGUUUGAAUUUUAAAUGUUAUUUAUUUACAUUUUCAAUAAAAUCCGUUUAGUCAAACUCCGCUUGCACUUUUCUGUAAAACCUCCGUUGUAUUCACCACGGUAACUCAACCUGUUUUGGACCGAUUGCGUUAAGACCCGGAGAGAGACUCUUGAGAGAGAUGAGCCGAUCUUGAACUACCUCUGUGAGAGAACACCACAGCUAGACCCGAGAACACAGUUGCUAAAAAGGGAUGGGGAGUUCGCUACUUCUGUCGCACGCAGUUACCCAGAGAGCAUCUCAAGGAAUGACGUAAUUCCGGUCAAACCGCUUGAGCGUCCGUUGCGACCUUCCCUAUUCUGAGGACUCCAGGGCUCGUUCACUUUGUCCCCAGCUAUCAACGAGAGUGGAAGUGCGCAUUUUGUACCGCGAGUUUUUGGCUUUUUGUACAAAAUUUUCCCGUUAGUUAGUCGUGUAUGCGCUAGUGCUAAUAAUUGUUUAAUUUGUGUGCGAACAGGAGAAAGCCCAUCGCCGUUAGCAACAGCGCUAACCAUCCCGCAGCAGCACCAGCCCAGAGCAGCAGCGCGAACACACGAGCAGCAGAAGCAGCAGAGGAAAACGGAGACGAAGUUCCCCGCGCACCGCACUUCUCGUUGUCGCCGUACGUCACGCUAGGAGGCGAUCCGUAACCACAUCGCCCCGGUGAAGAAGGGAGGGUCCCUGAACCACCACUGAAGGACAGCGGAGAACGUUAGUCCCGGCCGGAGUCAACCCUAAGGCCGGAGCUUCCUGUCCGGUUGCGAGCACCUGACAGCCGCGGAACCGGGAAAAGUCCAGAACCGGCCCGAGCCACCCCGUAAGGCCGAGUCCCGCGCAUUCCGGUCAGCUGUUCAUCAGCUGACGGCCACGUGUCGUCCCUGAGCUGAGCAACCAGCCACCAGCAGCAGAGAACAACAGCAGCUACAAGAUCAUCAUUCGGUGAGUCCGUUCUUAUUUGCACUUGGUGGAAGAAGAAGCACGUCCCUAGCUGACGUAGCGAGGUUUUUGCCGGCCUAGUGCCGAGGCGGCAGACGCGAGUCCGCUUUCUCGGACGCGUCCAAAGUUUGAGGUUCGAACUUUAAUCCCACGCGUUUCUACGCCACACGUGGAUGACCCCUGAAAUCUAAACGCGCGCGCGCAAUUUGAAGAAGCAGUAGCCGAUUUGAUCAGCUGAUUGCUGGAAGAUGGAGAGAGCACAAGAGCACGGUUAGGGAAACAGACAGAAGUAAACGCACACACGCAAAGUAGGUAGAAGAUAGAAAACUUGAAGAUGGCCACCAACACUAUUGUACAAAUAUAAGCAUGCGAAACCCAAAACGAACAAACGAGAACUCUCCUUUCUUUCUGGAGUUAUGAAUAAAAACCACCCUAGUUCUUUUUCGGAUAAAUAAAACGUUCGUUUAAUUGUUGUUUAAAACCUACUUGUGGAGUUUCUUUGGUUGAUUGAAUCUGGAGUUAUGUCACUUUUCGUCGUCUUUUUUCGUUCUGUUUUCUGAAUGACAGAGCUUGGCGUCGAAUGCACUGCCACGAUCGAAGCGCUGCCUGGUGGCAGGUGGCGGCACUGCCGAUGAUGAGCUUUUAGGCAUGGGAAGCAACCAGCCCUCUGUCACGACGGCCAUGUUUAUGAAACCUAAAUGUUCGACGCGAACAUGAAGACAACAAAGAAGAUGAAGAACGUAAUUACAGCUGUCAAAAUUUGAAAAUAAACAAACCGCGUGGUAAAAAAAGGCAUAAUUUCAUAAUGUUGAAAUGAUUUCCAUGAAAAAAUAACGACACGGGAAGGAUUUCCAAACACAAGUUCCCGAAGAACCCUAUCCGCCAGAGACUAUGGAUAAAUGCCCCGCGAAGUGGCGAUGAAAACUGUUUUACAAGUUCAAGGUUCAGAUUUGUUCGGACCACUUCGCGAUGAACUUCUUGUGAGUCCACAAAAGGUCGGAUUCUACACAAGCACGCGAUUCCUUCGAUUCCCUGUGCGAGUCGACAGCGGGAGUGGGCAAGUCCUCGGAGAAGGUUAUCGAAGGAUGCUCGGAAAGACCAGCUACACCACAAUCACCGGAAUCACGGAUGUUUCUGCACUUGGUCGGUUACUCCCUGCCGGAGAUUGCAGCGAGUUGUUCGGAAGGAUCAACAGCGGGACUUGGCCAGUACUACCCGGCAAAUCUUACCGGUCAAUCGGAAGCAACAGUU